rnacentral:rRNA from 1 species
CCCUUAGAUGUUCUGGGCCGCACGCGCGCUACACUGACGAAUGCAACGAGCUUAUAACCUUGGCCGAAAGGUCUGGGUAAUCUCCAAAUUUCGUCGUGAUGGGGAUAGAUUAUUGCAAUUAUUAAUCUUCAACGAGGAAUGCCUAGUAAGCGCAAGUCAUCAGCUUGCGUUGAUUACGUCCCUGCCCUUUGUACACACCGCCCGUCGCUCCUACCGAUUGAAUGGUCCGGUGAAGCGUUCGGACCGUGGCCUUUGGACGGUUCGCCGUCUGUUGGCUGCGGGACGUUCGUUAAACCUUAUCAUUUAGAGGAAGGAGAAGUCGUAACA